rnacentral:rRNA from 1 species
CCCUUAGAUGUUCUGGGCCGCACGCGUGCUACACUGAUGCAUUCAACGAGUCUAAAACCUGGUCUGAUAGGGCUGGGUAAUCUUUUGAAAGUGCAUCGUGAUUGGGAUAGAUGAUUGCAAUUCUUCAUCUUCAACGAGGAAUGCCUAGUAAACGCAAGUCAUCAGCUUGCAUUGAUUACGUCCCUGCCCUUUGUACACACCGCCCGUCGCUCCUACCGAUUGAAUGAUCCGAUGAAUACCAUGGAUUGAGAGUACGAAUAGGUUUGCUUAUUUCUGCUGCUCGAGAAGUGGAGUAAAUCUUAUCAUUUAGAGGAAGGAGAAGUCGUAACA